CUUAGAGCCCCUUUAGGCACUGCAAGGGUCUCUAAGGUCUCCCCAGAGCAUUUUCCAGGCUGAACACCCCAACUCUCUCAGCCUGUCUCUAUAGUAGAGGUGCUGCAGCCUUCUGAGCAUCUUUGUGACUUCAUCUGGACUCUCUCCAAUAGAUUCAUGUCUUUCUUGUGUCAGAGACCCCAGAGCUGGACACAGCACUUCAGAUUGGCGCUUGGAAAAAUCAUUAAGCAGCGGUGACCAGAGGGAAUCAUGCAGCUCAUCAUAUCUUUGUCAUCACAGCUAUUGAUCAGAGCCACAAUGAAAAUGUGCCAACAAUUCUAAACAACACCAGGCAAGAGCCGAUGAAACCAAAGGUCAUUAAGAGCCCCAAUGCUUGAUUUGGGUUUAGAAGGCACAGAUGACUGGGAGCAAUCCCUGAGACCAUUUGGCUGUAACUUAGAAACAGUGAGGGAUUUCUGUAAUAUAUCUGUGAUUGCUUUGUUGAGCAUAGGGAUCGGCAUGAGAUUCUGCUCAGUCUAUUAUACAGACAGCGUAACCAGAAUAAAUCAAAAUUGUUUUAAAAAAAAAAAUCUAAUAAAGUACUUUUUCAGCUGUGACUUGUAAGUGUCACCGUGAUGGAUGGCACCACAAUCCAUUAUGCAAAGACAAGGCUCUUAACAUGAAAUUUUAGAAUUCAAUUUUAUGAUUUACAGAGAGGGCCCCCCUCAUAUUUACGGCACAGCAGUCUGUUUUGAUUCAAUCUCUGCGUAAUUGAAACCAGGGCCAGGGAUCAUGGUUAGUUCUCCGGCCGCUUUUUAAAAGGGGAGGAGAAAUAACCGCCUAUAACAUUAAUAAUGGAGCUAAAGAGAUUGCUUUGCUUGUUAAAUCUCACUCACUUUGUCUCCUCGCCCUGGUGGCACUGACAAACGUGGGGAAUACGGACACGGUGCCUCCAUGCCAGGGAUGUGUUUGGUGGGAUAAAAUCUGGCUGCCAUGUGGGCAGCAGCAUCCUCCAUCCCAUAGUGAGCCUGGCUGGGGCAUUUUUGCUCCUGUUGUUACAGUCCUCCAGAGGACAGAAGUUUUUCAGCACCUCUUUUUAUUAUAAUCACUCAUUUUAUUAUGAUCACUAAAUAGUCCCCCGUUACACCAAAGAAUUUUCAUGAGUUUUGUAAAAAAAAAAAAAAAACAACAAAACCACAGCUUGCUUGUGUUUGCUUUUUGUUGUUGUUUUUCAUCUCUAGGGUAUAUUUAAAUAAAAUUACUUGCGACUGUAGAGCAAACUUCAAACAGACACCAUGGGAACACACAGGGCCCUGUCCAGCAACCCCCAUCUCACUCCUGGAUGAAGGGCCAUUGCAUGUUCCAGGGGGCCAUUUCCUAUGGCAGUUUUCCAUCCUCUGCCACUCCCACCAAAAACAAUCUGGCCCACCCAAGGGAAACAUUUUGUGUUUCUUUUCUGCUCUCCUUUAAUUACCAUAAAACUUUGUGUUCCUGACCAAGUAUUACAUGGUUCAGCUGUUAACUCUGAUCCCAAAGGUCAAUGCUUUCUGGGGAGCAUAAAAAACCACAAAUGAAAAUCAACUAAAAAUAUAUAUACAUAUAUAUAUAUUUUUCUCCUUAGAGCUGGAAACUGUUCAAGCAAACAAUAAAACUUUCCAAAAAGAAAAUUAAAAUGUUUGGACAGUUCACAGAUGCUAUUAAAAUAACCAAUCAAAAAAUCACACUUUUCUAUUAAAAAGAAAAAUGUUUAUUUUGUGAGAGGACUUCUAAUGCAGCUCCAGCCAAGAAGAGGACUUUGUAUCAAAGCUGCAUCUGUAAGCCCAGCACUGAAGACUCUUGUCAUUACCCUGUGUAAUAAUUUUCCUGAAGUCUGGAACUAAUUUUUUGAGAAAUUUUUUUUCUCAACACUUUGUGUUUCUAAUACUGUAUUCUUGACUGUGUAAAUACAACCAGGCUGUAAAUAAGUGCAGAUGUAGAUACCUUCUAGAAAAAA